AACGAACGCUGGCGGCAGGCUUAACACAUGCAAGUCGAACGGGCGUAGCAAUACGUCAGUGGCGGACGGGUGAGUAACACGUGGGAAUAUGCCUUUCGGUUCGGAACAACUCGGGGAAACCCGUGCUAAUUCCGGAUACGCCCUUACGGGGAAAGAUUUAUCGCCGAAAGAUUAGCCCGCGUUGGAUUAGCUAGUUGGUGAGGUAAAGGCUCACCAAGGCGACGAUCCAUAGCUGGUUUGAGAGAACGACCAGCCACACUGGGACUGAGACACGGCCCAGACUCCUACGGGAGGCAGCAGUGGGGAAUCUUGGACAAUGGGCGCAAGCCUGAUCCAGCCAUGCCGCGUGAGUGAUGAAGGCCUUCGG
rnacentral:rRNA from 1 species